rnacentral:rRNA from 1 species
GACGACGCUGGCGGCGUGCUUAACACAUGCAAGUCGAACGAGUGGCGAACGGGUGAGUAAUGUCUGGGAAACUGCCUGAUGGAGGGGGAUAACUACUGGAAACGGUAGCUAAUACCGCAUACCAUCGGAUGUGCCCAGAUGGGAGUAGCUUGUUGGUGGGGUAACGGCUCACCAAGGCGACGAUCCCUAGCUGGUCUGAGAGGAUGACCAGCACAACUGGAACUGAGACACGGUCCAGACUCCGACGGGAGGCAGCAGUGGGGAAUAUUGCACAAUGGGCGCAAGCCUGAUGCAGCCAUGCCGCGUGUAUGAAGAAGGCCUUCGGGUUGUAAAGUACGUUCAGCGGGGAGGCGUUACCCGCAGAAGAAGCACCGGCUAACUCCGUGCCAGCAGCCGCGGUAAUAC